AAGAUGCAGCUUCCAGGCUGCCUCCACCUUCCCUGACCCCAGUGCUGUGAAGGGAGGCUUCAUGCUGCCUAUCAGAGCAGCCCUGAUCCCAACUCCUACUUGCGUGCAAGCAGAAGUGGGGUGGGGGAUCUCUCAGCUGUGAAGGGAGGCUUUAGGCUACCUAUCCGAGCUUGCAUGGAAGCAAGAGGGGGCACGGAUAUCUCAGGGAGGGAGAAGGAAAGCGAGAGGGAAGGAAGGAAGGAAGCCAGAGGGAGGGAGAAGGAAAGUGAGAGAAAUUGAGCUCAGUCAUUGAGCUCAGUCAGUCCCAGUUAAGCUUCCCAGUUAAGUGAAACUUUCAGGUUUCCAAACAAAUGUUUGAGAGUGUAAAUAACUUUCUGAGGACAGCUAGUGUAGGGAUUAGAGAGUUCAAACCCUGCUUCUCCACAUUACUUGGUUAAUUAUGCAUAUAUAUGCAUAUAUAUUUAGGAGUCCGAUCCAUUAAAUUCAGCGGUUCUUACUUCAAAGUACGUAGAGGAUUACUCAGAAGUAAGCCCCAUUGAGCUCCUCAGCCCCAAAUAAGCAUGUCCAUGGGAUUGAAUCCUGUGAAAUUCUGUAGCAAUUUAUCUAGAAGGACAGAACUGAAUGGGAGUUGCUUCUGAGUAGACAAGCAUAGGAUGGCACUGUAAGUCACCAUCUUUUUACACUCUUAUGUGUGCAUUGGGGGGAUAAAAUAUGGGAGUGUAUGUGUAAGUGGGGUUUAUUCUAAGCUCUGACCCCCCCCCAAGCAGCCAGCAUACUGCCCAUCCCCAAAAUGAAUGAAAGGAAAUGAAAGAGAGAAAAGAAAAUAAGAAUUAACACAGAAAGAGGCAGGGGAGAAGAAAAAAAAAUCACAGGAAGAAGACUUGAAAUUUGGGGAAAUGAGAAAGACAGUGAGGGAGCAAGAAAAAGCAAAGUUUCAUUGAAAAGAAUACGGUAGUAAGAGGAUUCACACUACCACAGUUUCUUGGGCAAAGUUAUUUGGGAAGGUUCGUACUAAGUAUUAUGGGUGCAGGCUCUCAAUCAUGCCAUCAGAAACCUUGAUUGCACAGGGUCUACACAUGUACAGUAGGUGCAUAAGGUCCCUGUUCAGACCUGCUGCCAGAUGAAUGAAAGUGAGGAGGGUGGAUCUAGUGGACAUGGUGGGAAAGGGCUGGUCCCUCCUUCACCCAUUCAACAACAACAAUGAAAAUGGAGGGGCACUUCUGAGAAAUACUUCUGAGAUGCCCUGUUCUUGUCUUCUACUGAUGCAGUGCUGGGCUGUUGUGAUUAUUAAUUACACUUGGAAAGUUAUUUAUCAGCUCUGCAGUCAAAAGCACAACUGAAGCUUUAGCCGUGCUCGCUAAGCUUAAUAGUUGCCGGCACCCUGAACGGCAAUUGGAUUUUUUGCUCUUUCUGUGCCCUCGAUCAUGUCGUUGAAUGAUUGGGCUGAAUUCAGAGCUCUGGAACCAAGAGAGGUUUCCCUGAAGACUCCAUGGCUGCCACUUCAAAAGGUCAAUUCCAAGAAUGGAUUUCUCAACUCAAGAUUGAUCUCUGCUAAUGCAAGAGACAAGCCUUGUCUGGUUUCAAAAGGCAUGCUGAGCCAAGACUGGACUGGGGAAGCAGAGAAAACCACAAAAAGAAAGAGAGAUUGGGACUUCCAAAACGUGGAGCAGCAUUGCUGGCUUUCUUGAUUUGUUUCCCUGUGUGUGGAUGCAUAAUUGGACACAAUGUAAGAUAGGCUUGCACCAUGUUGCUUCUAAAGCUCUGAGAGAUGUGGUGAUGUGCAGUGGGGAAGGAAUUGGGGUAAACGAACACACUUCACUUCUCCCCUACCCCCUGCUUUUCUCCUGCAACCUUCUUCCCACCUGCUUUCUCCUACUUUACUCCGCAAGCAUGUGUUUAGAAUCUGGCUGGGUAGGAAUCAAUAGGGAAGGGUUGAGACUGCAGGAGGGAGUUUUUGGAACUUCUGCCCCCUUUGAACUCACUCUAACUUCUAAACCAGGGAGGGAGAACCUAUGGUUCUCCAGAUGUUGCUGCACUUCAGAACUUCACUUACCAUUGUCCAUGAUGGCUAGAACUGAUUGAUGAUUAAGUAAAACAACAACUGAAAGGCCACAGUUUCUUGACCCUGUUUUAAGCCCUGCAAUCCCUUUGGCAGCCAUCUCCUCAUUGGCAGGUAAGGACACAGAACCCUCAAAA